UACAGAGGCCUCGAGCGUUAGGCGGAAUCACUGGGCUUAAAGCGUGUGUAGGCGGAUGCCUAAGUACCUUGUGAAAUCCCACGGCUCACCCGUGGAACGGCUCGGUAUACUGGGUGUCUUGAGCCACCUAGGGGCUACCGGAACAAAUGGUGGAGCGGUGAAAUGCGUAGAUAUCAUUUGGAACGCCAACGGAGAAAUCAGGUAGCUGGGGGUGUGCUGACGCUGAGACACGAAAGCCAGGGGAGCGAACGGG
rnacentral:rRNA from 1 species